AGCAGAGUGGGCAGGAUACCAGUCCUGCUUAAUGCUAAUCACUGGUCACAAUUCCAG
rnacentral:ribozyme from 1 species